rnacentral:rRNA from 1 species
UGGGGAAUAUUGGGCAAUGGGCGAAAGCCUGACCCAGCGACGCCGCGUGGGCGAUGAAGGCCUUCGGGUUGUAAAGCCCUGUCAUGCGGAAAGAACGACCCUGCGACGCAUAAUCGCAGGGAGUGACGGUACCGCAGGAGGAAGCACCGGCUAACUCCGUGCCAGCAGCCGCGGUAAUACGGAGGGUGCAAGCGUUGUUCGGAAUUAUUGGGCGUAAAGGGCGCGUAGGCGGUAAUGCUAGUCAGAUGUGAAAUACUCCGGCUCAACCGGGGAACUGCAUCUGAAACUGCAUAACUAGAGUACAGAAGAGGGAAACGGAAUUCCCGGUGUAGAGGUGAAAUUCGUAGAUAUCGGGAGGAACACCAGUGGCGAAGGCGGUUUCCUGGUCUGAUACUGACGCUGAGGCGCGAAAGUGUGGGGAGCAAACAGG